UCGGAACCACUGAGAUCGGUCCUUGA
rnacentral:piRNA from 1 species